CCUACGGGUGGCAGCAGUGAGGAAUAUUGGUCAAUGGGCGCGAGCCUGAACCAGCCAAGUAGCGUGAAGGAUGACUGCCCUACGGGUUGUAAACUUCUUUUAUAAAGGAAUAAAGUGAGGCACGUGUGCCUUUUUGGAUGUACUUUAUGAAUAAGGAUCGGCUAACUCCGUGCCAGCAGCCGCGGUAAUACGGAGGAGCCGAGCGUUAUCCGGCUUGAUUGGGGUUACAGGGAGCGUAGAUGGGUUGUUAAGUCAGUUGUGAAAGUUUGCGGCUCCACCGUAAAAUUGCAAUUGCUACUGGCAGUCUUGAGUACAGUUGAGGUAGGCGGACUUC
rnacentral:rRNA from 1 species